AGGAAAAGAAACUAACAAGGAUUCCCCUAGUAACUGCGAGUGAAGCGGGAAAAGCUCAAAUUUAAAAUCUGGCAGUCUUUUGGCUGUCCGAGUUGUAAUCUAGAGAAGUGUUAUCCGCGCUGGACCGUGUACAAGUCUCCUGGAAUGGAGCAUCAUAGAGGGUGAGAAUCCCGUCUUUGACAUGGACUACCAGGGCUUUGUGAUGCGCUCUCAAAGAGUCGAAGUUGUUUGGGAAUGCAGCUCAAAAUGGGUGGUAAAUUCCAUCUAAAGCUAAAUAUUGGCGAGAGACCGAUAGCGAACAAGUACCGUGAGGGAAAGAUGAAAAGAACUUUGGAAAGAGAGUUAAACAGUACGUGAAAUUGCUGAAAGGGAAACGCUUGAAGUCAGUCGCGUCGUCCAGGGAUCAACCUUGCUUUUGCUUGGUGCACUUUCUGGUUUGACGGGUCAGCAUCAAUUUUGACUAUUGGAAAAAGUCUAAGGGAAUGUGGCAUCCUUGGAUGUGUUAUAGCCCUUGGUCACAUACAAUGGUUGGGAUUGAGGAACUCAGCACGCCGCAAGGCCGGGUUUUAAACCACGUACGUGCUUAGGAUGCUGGCAAUAUGGCUUUAAUCGACCCGUCUUGAAACACGGACCAAGGAGUCUAACAUGCCUGCGAGUGUUUGGGUGGAAAACCCGAGCGCGUAAUGAAAGUGAAAAGUUGAGAUCCCUGUCGUGGGGAGCAUCGACGCCCGGACCAGACCUUUUGUGACGGUUCCGCGGUAGAGCAUGUAUGUUGGGACCCGAAAGAUGGUGAACUAUGCCUGAAUAGGGUGAAUCCAGAGGAAACUCUGGUGGAGGCUCGUAGCGAUUCUGACGUGCAAAUCGAUCGUCAAAUUUGGGUAUAGGGGCGAA
rnacentral:rRNA from 1 species